UAUAAAAUCCACCUUUGGAGGAAAACGCAAACAGGUUCCAUGUAAAAAGCAAGACCCCCUCCUCCUCCUCCUCCUCCGUCAGUCCAGGGUCUCUCGCGGCUCGUCCUCCAUCCUCCGUUCGGCCGGACACACACACACACACGCGCGCGCUGAACCGCACUGAGGUCCGCCUCUGUCGCUCUGAUCCCGCUUCCACUCACUGGCGUGCUUUUCUGCGCUUUAAACUCCGAAUGCUUUUAAGGAAAGACGGAGCGAAAACCUGGAGUGGAGUGCGGCGACAACUGGAUCCGGAACAACCGCUUUGCAUUCAUGAGACAGACAGAUGUUUUUCAAAGUCAGUUUAUGGAAGAAAAAAGGAUGGCAAAAGUAUUGUGCUGUGAACUGCUGAGCUGCACCUGUGAAUGAACACCUGUGUGAACUUCAUACAUCCAUGUGAGAGAGAUCCAGGACGAGAGAGCGCAGGUUAUUUUUGGGACAUAUAGAGAGUGAGAGUCUCAGUCGCUUGACCUCUGACCUCCACACUGCUUGUGUCUUUGUGAAACCAGCACAGCUGCCACGAGUGAGUGUGUUUCUAUAUCCGUCUGUUAAUGUGUGUGAGAGUCCGUGUGUGUGUUUGUCUAAAUAUGUCUCUCUGCUAAAACCACCAUCUCAUCUGUGACUCCAACUGCUUGAGACACUUAACCCGGUGUUCUCACCGUGAGAACGCUUUGUUUUACAUAUGAUUGACAAAAGCAGAGAGAGAAAAUACAGAGACAGAUCUAGAAAGAAAACAGAGCUGAACUGGAUUUGAACUCAUUUAAGGCUGUUUAAGGAUUUGUAAUCUGACAGAAUGAAGCCAAACGCUCACAUGACCUACAUCUGUCUGUAUCGGCUGUAUAUUGGCCUCUGCAUGGUUAAAUAUUAAAUAUGAAUGUGUAAUCUAGAAAAAAGGCAGCUAAAGUUCACCUUAAUGAUGCAUUUAGACACUUUUCUCAUUUACAGGGUUUUUUUUUUUUUACACUAGAGUUACACUACUGUUUUAGCAUUUCAGUUAUUUUCUGAAAAGUGUGUCUGUGCUGUUUUUUUAUUUAUUUUUUUUUUAAAUAAAUGCCCUAACGUAAAAUAAAUAAAUUAAUACUGAAUUAAAAAUGAAUUAUUGUUAUAUUUUAUUUCUUAUAUAUGAGCAUUACCCUAUAUUAAUAACUAAUAUUACGUAAUCUUAGGACAUAUAUAUAUAUAUUUUUUUUUUUUUCAUAUAUUAAAAGUACAUUUAUAAAUUAACAUUACCCUAAAUUAAUACAUAAAACAAUAACAUGUUAUUAUUAAAAUAUUUUAUUAUAAAUAUAUUAAUAUAUCAAUUAACACUGAAUUAACAAUGAACAAUAGUAUAUUUUCUAAUUAAGAUUAACCUUUGUUAAUAAAUGCUAUAAAUUAGUUCAUGAUACUUAAUGCAUUAAUUUUUGUUAAUGAUUUGAACUUUACUGGAAAGUAUUAACAUUACUGUUCCUAGUUCUGGAGGGACUUUGAGUGGGGGCCUAUGGAGUUAAAACUAGAUCUAUUGUUUGAGCAUUUCCAACUUGUUUUUCUGAAUUGUUUUGCCUGAAAAGUGUGCCUGUGAGGUCUCUUUUGUAAAAUAUAUGCCCUUGUUCUGACAUUCUCUUAUGUAAUGCAGUGAUAUGCGUACAUUAAGUGUGAUUUAAGUGUUAAAUACACUGUGGACUCUUCCAGACUGGCUG
ensembl:lncRNA